GGAAAGUCAUUUCCUUCAGCAUUAACAGUGAUGCCAAGUUGUCAACAAGCAAGUACUUCAAUAUCUUCAAAUAUAGGAUCUGGACAAUUAAAAGAUAGUAGUAGUGAGACUCGAGUAACUACCAAUACUGAUGCUACUACACAAGGUGUAGCAGAGGUCAUAGUUCAUC